rnacentral:misc_RNA from 1 species
UUUCAUGCGCCGUCAGAUCAUGCAAGACCCUGAUCGGCAGCGCCAUGCGGCAGAAUAAUGCAUGAUUGCUGUAUGGCGACGCAAAACCAGGCAAAACAAGCAAGCAAACAGCAAAGCUGUAUGGGACUGUCAAACAGAGCUUGCUGCAGCAUUCAUGCGACGUCUGCCGCAAUUAUGUUCUUCGUACUUCGCAAGCUUCGUGCACGUACGCACAGGAUGCUUAUACCCUAUAUAUUACAUACAAUAAUAGCGGGAACCGGGGAACUUGGGCUUCCCAGUAAAACGUGUAAAUAUAUAGUCGACGAUAUUUUAUCAGCCGUAAGACAUACACGUGCUGGAAGGGAAACAAAAAGAAAUACAUUACCUCAUUUCACAGCAUAAGUGUUUCAAAUUAUCUUUCAAAAUUAAUGCACAUUUGGAGACCUGCAUGUCGUGUCCAAAUGUUGUCAUAUAAUACAAUAUUACCUAUAUCAGCUCACUUUGUAAGCUAAAUUUUUGGCCAUUGCUAUUACUUUUACGUACGAAAGUGAUAUUUCGGCUAAUUUAAAGUCACGUAAUUCUCAGAGAUUUGUAUUUGUUGCCUCUAUUAUAACUAUAUGCAAUAUUAUUAAUAAUUUCUGUAGCUUUUCUAUAUACAUGCCUGAAUCAUGAUUAGGCUGAAACUAAGCCUCUUUAGUCAACUCACAUAGGCAACGGUGUAAUCGUUUGAAUGACUGUAGAAUGGCGAAGCAUGCCGAUGCUAAUCCUUAUUUACGUUGCAAUAUCGUCAAUAAUGAUAGUUCUGAGGAAAUAUCUUUGAAUAAUGGAAACGUAGCAUCUAUUUUAUCAAAUGACAGUCCUCCUUACGAACCGCAAAGUUCAGUUACGUGGAAUAACUUAGCUCACGAGGCGAAAGAUAAUUCUUCCGAAUAUGGGUGUUCAAAUUCAGAUGCUAUCUGUGAAGAUGAUAGUAACAGUCAGUCUAUGGGUGAAGAAGGCAGUACUCGAUUAAAAAAUUGCUUUCGAACACAGUUAGCUGAUUGUUUUAUUGAGAAUAACAUCGACAAUGUUCAGGCGAACUCAAUACUUACAGUUCUCAGAUCACAUUGCUGUUUGGCUUCUCGUCCAGAAGAUGUAAGAAUAUUGAUUGGGACUUGCAAUCGUCGCGUUGAAUUGAUUGAUGUUGAACCCGGAAAAUAUUGGCAUGUGUCUAUUAUGGGAAGGGUAAGCCGAAAGAUCCGAACAAUUUCUUUAAAAUGUUCACAAAUGAAGUCCAAGAGGUUUUCGCCAGCGGUGGUAUCCACUUCAGGAAUCAUUUAGUAAAAAUAAAGUUCAGAUGCUUCAUAGCUGAUGCUCCGGAUAGAUUCCUUGGAGGUAUUCCAAGAGUUUGAAGAAGAUCCUGAAAGACAACGAUCUCUAAGACACUAUCUUAUUAACGUUGGUGGUGUCACAGCUAGAGAUGCUCUUAACCAAUUUCUGAAGGAAGCCAUGACGGAUAGCCUGACACAAAAAUUCUCUUGGACUGGAAAGUCUGUUUCAGAUAAAGAGAAUCUCCGACCGUUAUUUAAUAUCUGUAUCGGAAAGAUGCCUUACGUGAGUGUCGAACAAUACCACAGCCACAUGAUAGUACAGAAUUUGCGAGACUGAUGCAAGAGGCAAUUCGGGGCGCACAAAAAAGAUUGCGGGAUGCAAAACGACGUGCCAAUCGCUCUGUCCAUGUGGAGGGUUGCAGACAAAAAUAUAUGGCUGAAAUGGCUCACCGUUACGAGGUUGAACACUCAGGACAAUGACACUGCGGAAUAAGAGACCCACAAUUUGCCUAUUAAAGAUCCUACGUGUAUUCAAACAUACGUACAUAUGUACUUUGUUUGACUAAGAAAUAUUUUAGUACGUAUAGCUGUGAUGUCAGUUUUUAUGUUUAUGCUCAAGCAUAGUAUUUAUAAUUGGUACUGCAGCUGUGAUAUCCACAAGUGACAUGUAACUAUAUGUUUUCCAAUGAAACAUUAUACCUAUAUCAACAAAUGCGGCGGGUUUGUACUAACAUAGCUAUAAAAUAGCUAACAUUUAGAUACUGUAGACGCUUUUGGUAUCUGGUAUAAAUUUUAGUGUUCUGACAUUUAUAUAAAGUAUUAAUUUUUAUUUUUUGAUUUCAAAUACUUCAAAUUAUUAUCUACUAUUCUACUCAUUUGAUAUCAGUUUAUCAAUACUAUUAUAAACUGUAGUUGAUAAUUUUAAGCUACAACGUAUAAAACAUAUUUAUAUUAAUAACUGUACAAUGGUAGAAGAGACCUUCUCUUCUAGUCUUGUUGUAGACAUAGAUUUGAAAGUCAGUGUUUUUCUUGUUCAUUUUUGCUCGCCAAUAACUGUAACACGUUUAUAACUAAUUAUCUUUAAGUAAAAGUAAAAAAUAUGCAAACUUAUAUUAUACCUAUA